AUUACUUUGGCAGAUUAGUGUGGUGGGUUUAGAGUUCAUUUAUGUAAAAUUUUUACAAGUAAUA
rnacentral:tRNA from 1 species